CUCAGAGUCACUGCCCGGAGGACGCUCCCUGGGAGGAGUCUGCCCUGUUUGACUUGCUCCUCUGUUCUCUUCACCGCAAAGGAAGAUGGAAGACGGGAACGAAGACAGGGAGCUGCGCGUUGGAAGUGGAAACUGAGUGUUGCCCUGGCGACAUUGUCCGUGUCCAGCCCUGGCUCCCCUAAACAGCCUUGCUCACUCUGG
rnacentral:lncRNA from 1 species